AUGGCCAGGGAUUUGCUGUAUUAUUUUCUGAUCCUGAUUUUCGGCAUUCCAAUGCACGAAUGUGUGGCGGUACUCCGAGAUGGCAGGUGUGUCAUCGAGGAACCCUGUUUUGAUCUGAGCGUGAUGGCUAAUUCAGCCAGGCUUGUCAGCAAGGAUGUGAUAGCUGCGGAUGGUGAGAAGAUCCUCUUGAGGCACAGCUCCUUUGACAAAAUUCGAAAAAAGAAAAAUCUUCAUGGCUGUGUCCUGCAGAAAAUCCUUGACCUAUUUCAAGAGGUUCUCGAUAAGACAAAUGGGACCUAUGUCCAUAAAGAUGAAGAAAUAAACCACCAUACUGAGCUUAUACACAUUAUGGAUCAACUCAGAAACUGUGUUUAUAAGAAAAAAGAUAGAUGUGAAAAGCUAUAUAAGAUGUCUGAAAUAACCACAACUUCCUCUCCAAUGAUUUUGGAGGAAAAAAUGAACCCAAAUCAGCUUGCUGUUUUACAGCUACAAAAACUGAAGUCUGCCAGUGAGAGGGUCAGUGAUGUGCAUAUCCAGGAGAAGGUCAUGGAUGAGCUGAAAACUCUCCAUAUCUACAUGCAGGGAAAAGGCUUCCGAAAAAAUACGAACGACUAAGGAGAAGCAUGAUGUUUUAUAAAUUCUGGCCAACAACGUGUUAUGUCACAUCUCUGUCUGAUCACUUUAAGAUGUGUCAGUUUAAGCAGGGACAGAAUACCAAGCUAUCUCUUGUAAAUGAGACAAAACUUAUUUUCCUGACUUUUUGUUUCUAAUAAGAUAUUUUAGUUGUUCGUGUUUUUAGUGCAAAUGUCUUUUUUGCUUUUUAAGUAAUGAGUAUUUAAACAGUUUAUGCAUAUUGCUUACGUACUUUCGGUGAAAGAUUGAGUGUACUGCAGUAAACGCAGGUGAUAAAAUAAACAAGAUAUAGAUAAUUUUGUCAAUGAAAACACAAAAUACAUGUUUAUCUUUGUUUUGUUUUUUUAUUGCAUUCAUUUGUCUGCUCAGUAAAACAUUUUUAUAUCUGGCUCUGUAUGUUUGCUUAAUUUUCCAGAAACAGCUUUAAUUUGAACUCUAUCCACAGCAUUGCAAAAAUAACAUUUUUUGCAAGACAUUACUGGUAUUUUCUUUGUGGCUGGAUUACAUUGGUUCCGAUAAUAUACUUAAAUAUACUUAAACUGUUAAUAUAAUUUUGUAUAUUUUUCUACCCCACUGUAGAUGUUUAUUUAUAUCCAUCCAUAUUAUAUAUUUAACUACACAACUCUACAUUAACAGCUACAUUAACUACUUAACUCUGCUGUAAGGCCAGCAGAACUGCAGUUCGUCCCGGUGCAUGAGUGAGAUACAGGCAUGCAUAAAACUCAUGCAUGUUAAAAGCAAGCAAUGCAUGUGAUACACAACAGGCUACUGCUUAGUGAUGAUGAGAUCAGCCAUAUUUACCAUAUUUAAUGUAGUAUGGGGCAUACUUUCUUUUGCCUUUUGUAAUUUUGUUUGUUGCUUUUUUGAGGAUUAUGGCACAUCGUGCAACCUAUUCAUGCUGGCAUCUGACUAAGUUGCCUAGUUUCUACCAAGUGACGAAUAAAUUAACAUCAAAAUACCAUAGAGUUUGACACUGACAAACUAAAAAUAUGUAUUUGCAUCUCUUUUAAGCGAUGGCAUGCUUAUUUAUUUUGCUCUUUUAAAAAUGCACAGUUAUACUGCAUUUUAUAAUUUGCAGUUUAGUAUUGUUUUUCCAUUCUUUUAGAAUUGUGACCCAGUAAUUGUAAAUAACUG
ensembl:lncRNA